UGAUAUUACCUUAUUAUUAGUGUCGUCCAAAACUGGUGCCAGAAGACUCGGUAAGGCCAGAGACACAAACGUUAAUCGUCUUAAUCAGGCGUAAAGGGUUUGUAGGCGGCUUUAAAAUUUACUUAUAAAUAAAAGGUGAAGAAACAAAGCUAGAAUCAAAUAGAGGAUAUAUGAAAGAAUGCUUAGAGUAGGUCUGAUAUCCUUAGAUACUAAGUAGAAUAUUAAAGGCGAAAGCUUUUUUCCAUUAAUGAUUGACGCUCAGAAACGAAGGUGAGGAUAGGAAAUAGGAUUAGAUACCCAAAAUACCCCUCUCUGUCAACGAUGAAUGGUAGUUAUUAAUAAAAAAUUAUUAAUGGCAAUGUUAACACGAUAACCAUUCCGCCUUGUGAGUACAACUGCAAAGUUGAAAACAAAAAAA
rnacentral:rRNA from 1 species